rnacentral:rRNA from 1 species
GACGAACGCUGGCGGCGUGCUUAACACAUGCAAGUCGAACGGAAAGGCCUAGCUUGCUGGGUACUCGAGUGGCGAACGGGUGAGUAACACGUGGGUGAUCUGCCCCUGACUUUGGGAUAAGCCUGGGAAACUGGGUCUAAUACCGGAUAUUCAUUUUUCCUCGCAUGGGGAUUUGUGGAAAGCUUUUGCGGUUGGGGAUGGGCCCGCGGCCUAUCAGCUUGUUGGUGGGGUAAUGGCCUACCAAGGCGACGACGGGUAGCCGACCUGAGAGGGUGAUCGGCCCCACUGGGACUGAGACACGGCCCAGACUCCUACGGGAGGCAGCAGUGGGGAAUAUUGCACAAUGGGCGCAAGCCUGAUGCAGCGACGCCGCGUGAGGGAUGACGGCCUUCGGGUUGUAAACCUCUUUCAGCUCCGACGAAGCGCAAGUGACGGUAGGAGCAGAAGAAGCACCGGCCAACUACGUG